AUUGAACGCUGGCGGCAGGCCUAACACAUGCAAGUCGAGCGGAGCGGCGGACGGGUGAGUAAUACCUAUGAAUCUGCCUGGUAGUGGGGGAUAACGUCCGGAAACGGGCGCUAAUACCGAAUACUAUCACAUGAGCCUAUGUCGGAUUAGCUAUUGGGAGGGGUAAAGGCAUACCAAGGCGACGAUCCGGAACUGGUCUGAGAGGAUGAGCAGUCACACUGGAACUGAGACACGGUCCAGACUCCUACGGGAGGCAGCAGUGGGGAAUAUUGCACAAUGGGCGCAAGCCUGAUCCAGCCAUGCCGCGUGUGUGAAGAAGGUCUUCGGAUUGUAAAGCACUUUAAGUUGGGAGGCGUUACCAACAGAAUAAGCACCGGCUAACUCCGUGCCAGCAGCCGCGGUAAUUC
rnacentral:rRNA from 1 species